AAACAGCUUGCUGCAAGUAAAUAACUUUAUUCUUCCUUUUGUAAAAUAUAUUUGCAAAGUAAUUAAAACUCUCAGUCUAUUAUCUUCUUUUGGCAUCUUUUUCCAGGGAGCAUAUUUUGUAGAAGGGAGAGUAUGGAAUGACAUUACCAAGUACCACAUGUAGUUUUGACAAUGUUUAGGUGGUUUUUGACUGUCGAAGAGAUAUGAAGAAGUGGAACGGGGGAAUUCCAGACACAAGUUCACUGAAAUAUCAUGGAAACAGAAAAGAAAAUGACCAUUCAGAUCAUCAUGUUCAUAUUGGCAACACUAAGAAGAUUUUGCUCGAAGUGCAUUAUAAUUGUUGAAAAGCAAUAUGGAACUUCUGUAUUUGGCGUAUCAUGAGAAAUCUGGAUUGAAGAAAUUACAUUAUUUCCAGGCCCUGCCCUCGCAUUAUUGACAUUCGCAGUGGUACAAUGUCAGAAAACAAAAAGAGAAGAGGAGCUCCCAGCAAAGAAGCUCAGGAGAACCCCUUUACCGAGUUCUCCUCCAAGUCCACCCAUGAAGGACAGCCCUGGUUAUCUAUACAGUGAAUCCAAG